rnacentral:rRNA from 1 species
UACGUAGGGUGCAAGCGUUGUCCGGAAUUAUUGGGCGUAAAGAGCUCGUAGGCGGUUUGUCGCGUCUGCUGUGAAAACCCGAGGCUCAACCUCGGGCCUGCAGUGGGUACGGGCAGACUAGAGUGCGGUAGGGGAGAUUGGAAUUCCUGGUGUAGCGGUGGAAUGCGCAGAUAUCAGGAGGAACACCGAUGGCGAAGGCAGAUCUCUGGGCCGAUACUGACGCUGGGGAGCGAAAGCGUGGGGAGCGAACAGG